GAGGCCCCCUCGGCGGCGCCAUUUUGGAGGCUCGCGACGCCUCAGCCGCCCGGAGCCGCCUCAGCGCCGACAUGAGCGUGGUGGAGCACGUGCGGGAGAUGGCGGCUGCCGGGCUGCACUCCAACGUGCGCAUCCUCAGCGGGCUGCUGCUCACCAUGAGCGGCAACAACCCAGAGUUAUUCUCCCCUUCUCAAAAGUACCAGCUGCUUGUGUAUCAUGCAGACUCCCUCUUUCAUGACAAGGAGUAUAGGAAUGCUGUAAGUAAGUAUACAAUGGCCUUGCAGCAGAAGAAGGCAUUAAGUAAAACUUCAAAAGUUAGACCCUCUACUGGGAAUGCUGCAUCAACUCCACAAAGUCAGUGUCUGCCAUCUGAAAUUGAAGUGAAAUAUAAAAUGGCUGAGUGUUACACAAUGUUGAAGCAAGAUAAAGAUGCCAUUGCUAUCCUGGAUGGAAUUCCUUCAAGACAAAGAACCCCAAAGAUUAACAUGAUGUUGGCAAAUUUGUACAAGAAGGCAGGUCAGGAACGGUCGUCUGUUACAAGCUAUAAAGAAGUGCUGAGGCAGUGUCCUCUAGCGCUUGAUGCUAUACUAGGUUUGCUCUCCCUCUCAGUAAAAGGUGCAGAAGUGGCCUCUAUGACAAUGAAUGUAAUUCAGAGUAUCCCCAACUUGGACUGGCUUUCAGUGUGGAUCAAAGCAUAUGCUUUUGUGCACACUGGAGAUAACACCAGAGCAAUCAACACCAUCUGCUCAUUAGAGAAAAAGUCUUUGCUGAGGGAUAACGUGGAUCUGUUGGGGAGCUUGGCAGACCUGUACUUCAGAGCUGGAGACAAUAAAAAUUCAAUUCUAAAAUUUGAACAGGCACAAAUGCUGGACCCUUAUCUGAUAAAAGGGAUGGACGUCUAUGGCUAUUUAUUGGCACGUGAAGGUCGCCUGGAAGAUGUGGAGAACUUGGGCUGCCGACUCUUCAAUAUAUCUGACCAGCACGCAGAGCCAUGGGUUGUGUCUGGGUGCCAUAGUUUCUACAGUAAAAGAUAUUCUCGUGCCUUGUAUUUGGGAGCCAAAGCUAUUCAGCUCAACAGUAAUAGUGUCCAAGCAUUACUGCUGAAAGGAGCUGCUCUUAGGAACAUGGUGCGAGUCCAGGAGGCAAUUAUACACUUCCGGGAGGCAAUACGUCUUGCGCCUUGCAGGCUGGACUGUUAUGAAGGCCUCAUUGAAUGUUAUCUUGCAUCUAACAGUAUCCGUGAAGCAAUGGUUAUGGCUAACAAUGUAUACAAAACCCUGGGAGCAAACGCGCAGACGCUUACACUGUUGGCAACAGUCUGUCUUGAAGACCCGGUUACACAAGAGAAAGCAAAAACCUUAUUAGAUAAAGCACUGACACAGAGACCUGAUUACAUUAAAGCCGUGGUAAAGAAAGCAGAACUUCUUAGCAGAGAACAGAAAUAUGAAGAUGGAAUUGCUUUGCUGAGGAAUGCACUGGCUAAUCAGAGUGACUGUGUGCUGCAUCGAAUACUGGGAGACUUUCUUGUAGCUGUCAAUGAAUAUCAGGAAGCUAUGGACCAGUACAGUAUUGCCCUCAGCUUGGAUCCCAAUGAUCAGAAGUCUUUAGAAGGAAUGCAGAAAAUGGAAAAGGAAGAGAGUCCAACAGAUGCAACCCAGGAAGAGGAUGUGGAUGAUAUGGAAGGAAGUGGAGAAGAAGGGGAUUUGGAGGGCAGUGAUAGUGAAGCAGCACAGUGGGCAGAUCAAGAGCAGUGGUUUGGCAUGCAGUGAAUCUCCCUAACAGGCAUGUUUCAGCACUUGUGUCCCACGAGCUCCAUUCUUUUCUGAAGAACUUAGACUUCAGUUUUUGUAGUAACAGCCCAGCCUCUCUUUGAAAGCAGCAGACUCUGGAAUCACUUAAUAGUUAAAAGCAUCUCAGUUCUGAUCAUGUUUUGGAUGCUUCCUAUUUAUUAAGUAUGAGAUUGAGAUUGAACUCAUCUGUGCUGGAGAUGAUUUAGGGAAGCUGCAAACAUGUUCAAGUAAAACCCAAAUUGUUUAUUUUGCAAGCUCUCCAUUUCUUCCUUUCUCUGCAAUAAGCCUCAGAUUGCAUUCUGCUUCUGCAUGGUAACCUAGCUGUGUUUAGCAGUAAGCAUUGCAACGUUUUCUGGAAAGCAAGAUACCAUGGAACAAGAAGUGUGAAGGCUAGAACUCAGACCUGGAACAGUUCAGAGAAUUUGCAGAUUGGUAAGCAUGAAAGUGUGCUAAUUUGACCACUUUUACUUAGGACUUAAGGUAAAACUACCCAACUAAGUUAGCUAUUGCAUGUGGUGUUGGAGUUUGAAAUUUGAACAUUGCUGUGGUACUGUUAAUCAGCUCUUGUAAAUUGGUCCUCCUUUAAUUUUGCCCAUAGCUGAGCCCUAGUCCUUUUAGUAAAUAGCUGAUAGAAAUAAUCCCAUUAAAGCUUAGAGAAGUUAAAUUUUACUGUAUUGCUCCUUGGCACCUAUAUGCUGAAGUCUGUUGCAUGAAAUUUCUAAACCUGUUUAUGACCAGAAUGGAGAUCAGACUGUUCCUUCCACCAGAGUUUCUGCUGUAAGAAACUCGCUUUAAAACUUUCUUUUACAUACAGCUGUAUGUAACUUAUUCCUGGAUACCUGCCCGUAUCCUAAGACAAGUAGCUGACCAUGUUAGUCUGACCUCAGAUGGAAGGGUGGCAUUCAGAGAGGCUGCUUCACCAGAUCCUAAAAGGGACAUCACUCUUCAAUUGUAUGUUCUCUGUUUUGUGACGGCUUGCUUUUAUUAUCCAAGAUAAAAGUUCAGACUGUGGCCACAGAGAUCAUUGUCUCUAUAAAUGCAUGUUAUGUUAGCGCUCUGUUAGAUUAUCUUUUCAUGAUCUUGUCAAUAAACAUCCAGUGGAAGGGAUUGAGAACUUUAAGAUACAAAACCUGGAGAAUGCACUUGAUUUUUAUUUAUUUAUUUUAGCCUAUUGCUUCCAGGAGUCUAAGAGGAUAUUUUUGGUCCCUUAAUGAGCCUUCAUUAAUGCUUUAAUUUUAGAAUGUGAUCUCUGCUUUUGUAACCUUGUGCUCCUGAAUCCUGUGACUUGUUUCUAGUUUAGGAAAUAUAACUAAUGCAGUUAGCCCAUAAUAAUCAGUUGACCUCAUUCUGUGCCUUAAUCCACUGCUGUGCAUACUACCAGAGGUAAUGAAUGCAAAAAUUAUGGCUUUCACUGCAUCAGGAGUCACGUAGGGUCUGCAAAGGAGGCAGCUCGGAGGUGAGGCUGGAACCAGUGACGCAAGGGCACCCAGUCUGCCACCUGUGCUGCUAUCUGCUCUUUUGGACAUGGGCUAUAUUCGGUGGUGUCUGGGGCUGGAUAAAGAUGUAAUAUUUGUAUUUGCUCUGAGGUGCCACUUCACCACAGAUGAUAUCUAUGAUCAGGAAGGGCAAGAGUUUCUCCAAACUUUGCACUUCUUCCCGAACGGCAAAGCACAGCUGUGAAGCUUGCUAGCCCCUCAGGGGCAGUGUUCAUUGAGGAUGAGGCUCAGAGCCAUGCAGUCCUGGAUCUGCAAAGUAACUAACUUUCCUUUCCAAAGGCCAUGUGUUAAGGAUUAUGUGAGCCACCCCUGCCUGUGAAAUGGGGAGGGGAGGGUAUGUGGUUCCUUGUCUCAAAGUUGGGAGCAUCUUUAAGCAGCUGUCUUGCAAACCACAAGGUGUUCCGUAAGUGCUAGGUACCCUGUUAAAGUGGGGUUUUUUUACGCUUCCUUUCCUGUCAUUGCAGAUCAGAGAGAGCUCUGGGUAAUUAGUGGCUUUCUCUCUUAAUAUUCGGCCUUCUCCUUGGUCCUGUUUCAUGUAAUGAGGUUGCACCUUCCCUUCUUAGGGCUUGUGAGGCGACAUUGAAGUCAAAUCAUCCAGCCCUGUAGCAAUGAGCAUUUGUUUCUUGGAAAGCCUGUCUGCUUCACAGAGUUGUGGUUUCUGGGGAACUGCUGGAUGGCAUCUGUGAGAGUGUCCCAGCAUUGCAGUUGCCUUACCCACACACACAUUGCACCACUUGAACUCAUCUGCUGUGGCUAAAUUGGUGCAGACUUCAGUGUGAACAGUUAGCUGGGUUAAACCUAGCUUGUGUUGAAACCUGAAGUAGGCUUACCAGCACAGGUUGAGCAGCUGUGAGUCAGGUAUAACAGUGUAUGUUUGUUAAUGCACCUUUAGUUACAUUGGUGCCAUUUUGUGCCUAAACCUGAUUCAAGCUAAAGUGGUCCAACCACUGCUACUACUGGGGAAGCAGGAGUUGGGAUGUGUACAGAAGGGAAAGGGCUUUGUGGCAAGUGUGUGGGAAGCGGAUGAGCGGUUCUUGUGUCUGCUCAUGGACUGCAUGCGAGGGAGUCAUUUGGGUUGCCAGCAGAGAUCUCUGGCUUGCUGAAGCAUUUGGAAUGGGUUGAACUGUAUUUGAAUGAGGCUCCUCUGCCCCUUAUCAGCAAACCUGCUAACAAUAGGACACAGAUCAGGUAAGCAGUCCAUGCACUUGGACUUGAUGUACUGAGCCUCACUUGUGCCACUUAGCUUCGCGUUAAUGGCUGCGUUGUGUUCCACCUGGAAUGAGCAUUGGACUUUUUUGCUGGGAUUAGUCACUGACACUUGUUUACAUUGUAAAAUCCUCCAUUAACACUGCGCCCUGGCUUGGAGCAACCUGGUGAGAGAGGUCAAAGGCUGAACGGGCUGGGAAGCCAAAAUCCUUUCUCCUCCUUUCACCCUGUCAGACCCAGUUUGAGAGAACCCAGCCGGUUCUGAACUUGCUCUGCUACUGCUCCAGCUGUACAUGGUAGAUGGAGAUAAAAAUGGCUUUGUGCUCCACAAGUGUCUGCUCUUUCACGGGCCAUAGAACUUGUAGUGCAGACAAAAGAAUCCUGGUGCUGUCUGCCAAAUCUUCUGCUGCAGCUCUUCUGCUUGGAGAAGGCUUGGUCUGUUUGUGGCAUGAAAGGAAGUGAUGACCUCCUGUUUUGAGACUCCUGCUUGAACUCUCCUGCACAGCUUGUCAGCUGUGUUCUUGGGCCCCUUUAGAAUGUGUCUACCAAAACGAGGGGGAGGAGGGAUGGAAACGGCCUGUCCUGAGAUGCGGACUUAAUCUAAAUGUUAAAAUAUUUACGCAGAACAAAAAGUCCAGUUGCAUCAAAGCUGGUGCGACUGGGUGGUGGCAGCAGUGCGCUGCUUUGCCUAGUGAGCUGGGGUUCAGAAACUUGGACUGCCUCCUGGCUGUAAACUCAAGACUGGGAAGAGCUUAAUGGUUGGCAGAAAUUAGAUACUUGCUUUGACAGAUUGGGCUGCUACUGGCAGAACAAAGGCUCUGUUCCUGUGUGGCUGGAGGUGCAGCGCAUUGCCCUGCACAGAGCCAUGCUGCCCAUCAAGGUGCCGCCUUCUGCGAACUCUGCAACAUAGCUUGUGUUUGGUUUUCUCCCUGGGUUCAGCAUAUAUCCAGUUGUAUUUUUCUUAACACUGUGCAUUAGCUGAUGAGUUGAAGCUGGUAACUUUGGCUCCAUCUUGUUGGAAACCUAAGUAGUUUUCUUGUAAACUCCAGCAUGGUGACAUCAGUAGAGCAAGGGAAAGCUGUCUGCAAACUGUGUCUUCCUUGUGCUGGUCUGUGCAAGCUGCAGCCCACGCACUUCUGGAGAUGGAUGGGCUUCACAGUGCGUUCAUCAGGGAUCCUGUGAGCACUCACUGCUACAGUGGUGCCUUUUUUGCCUUACAGACCUUGACAAGGUCCCAGUUCCACAGUGGCUGCCUUCACUGCCACAUUGCAUGUGGUGUGGCUAGCCCUCGUCCAUGCAGCUGUAAUGACUAAGGUCUGUUCUCGUGCUGACCUGUACAGGCUUCCAUGUCCGGCCUGCUGCAGUGGCUGCCUUGCUAACACUUGAAGGCUUGUUGAAAUUGGCAGCCUUUGCUGUUGCCCUAGUUAGAGAAUGAUCUAACUGGCCUAUAGUAACUGUAGCUCUUCUGGUCUUCCUUGCUGUAGACUGGAGUUGUCACAGAAGGCCAGAGGGAAUGUGGGUCCCUUCCCCAGUGCUGGAGCUGGGCCUUUCAUCACCCCAGGGAGAGGCAGCUUUUGCUCUAGGGAAGAGAAGGUCCUGCUGAUACUCUGCUUAUUGGGCAGGGUGUGAGGAUUUGCUCAGGUGCUUGCUUCUCCUGCUGGAAUAUGGCACUUGGCUGUUCCCAGCUCUCUAGACCAGUGGUUCCCAACCUUUUUAGACCACAGACCAGCAAACUGCAGACUGGCAUUCUGCAGAUCAGCAUACUGUGGACUCGGUAUAAAAAAAGGUUGGCUGCCGGUCUGCAGUAUGCUGGUCACUUCUGGACUUGCGGUCUGCCAGCCAACCCUCUUGCGGACCAGCAGCCAACUGUUUACAGCCCAGUACCUGGCCAUGGCCCAGGGGUUGGAAACCUCUGCUCUAGACCUUUCACCAGUAACACUUGACCUGGAGACUGCCCCAAGUUGGUGAGAGAGAGAGGCUUAACCCUUUCCUUGCUGUGCUGGGAUUCUAGCCCCCCACAGAGCUUCGAAAGGGGCUGCAGGAAGCAGAGUGAGCUUUGGGACCUCACUUCUGCCUCGUAAUUUACAGUCUAGCCCGUAACUUGAGAGAAGCUUUUCUUUAUGGGAAAGUGUAUCAUCCAUCAUGUGGCCCUAGGUAGGGCAGAGACAUUUACAAUGACUAACUUCACUUGCAGCUACUGGAAUUCUUGGCCCUGUGUUGGAAACCAAGUUCCUGGGCAUGAAGCCACGAUGUGAAAUGAACCAUUCCCUUGCACAGGCGACCAGUCUCCAGUGCUUUGGUGGGGGGUGCGGGUGCCUCCACAAUCAGCCCAGUUCAAAACGUAGCCUAGCAGUGCCCUUGCUGAGGGCAGUGUGGGGCCCACAGAGCUCUGUGCCAGGUUGCCAUAAUUUGGGAGCACCUUCCUGGGGCCUAUGGAGAAGCCAGGUUGUUCUGUAGACUGCAGGAGAGGAUUUACGGCUAGACCCAGUGACAGACCAGGGCAUGGUAGCACCCUGCUCCUUUAUGGCUGGUUUGGGAGGUAGCUCAGGAUUCAGAUCUCUGCCUGAGGUAUGGGGUGGGAGAGUUGCAGCACAGAGGGAGCUGGACACUGCAGAGCAGGACCCCAGGCAGCCUGGGGCCAGAGGGAGGGGCCUGAAGUUGGCAUGCAUGAAAGUCCCAUCCUUCAGGAAGGCAGCUCCAUCUGCUCAGGGGUCUCAGCCUGGCACCCUCCCAAAUACAGUUGUUAGCUUCCAGUCCUUGCUAGGGCAGAGGUGAGAGUUGGAGGCUUUUUGUUUAACCCAAGCUGCUAUGAGACAACCCAGCCCUCUGCAGCAUGGGUGGCAGGUGCCUAGGGGGCUGCUCAGGCUUGCAGAUUAGCCAAGCUGCCUGUGUCACACUCGUGGCCCCCUGUAGAAUCUGGCUGUAACCUGGCCAAGGUCCCCACCUUUCUCAUCACUCGCUGGUGGUGUAGUCAGGCCCCUGAGCCUGGGCUGGCAGUGCAUGCUGAUUGACCCUCCAGAGGGAACAAGGGCACCAUGAGGAGCGGGAGGGCAUGAAACAGAGGGCAGUGUUGCCCUGCUUUAUGAGGUGACCAUGAGGCUCAGCACCUGGCUGCAGGCUUGGCACCUCCUGCGUUGCUGCCUCGCUGCCAUCCCAUUAUUGACAGCACCAUAUACAGCCUCCUGCGCAUACCCUCUGCUCCAAGCAAUGGGUUGCCAACUCAGAAAACACAGCCGUGUCCCUGCUGGUGUCGCCUGAGGACAGCACCGUGACUGAACCAGCACCAUGGCAUAGAUCUCUGCGUCGUUGUUUGGAGCUUAAAUACCAUGGCAGCCAGUGCUGAGUGAUGAGGUGGGUGAAUCUGCUCUGCAAAGCAACGGGGAGGUGUGUGAGCUACCAGCAGGGUGGGCCAGGCACAGCAGUGUUUCCCUGAGUGCCUUUGUUAGUGCAGGGGGACAGUUUACACAGCCUCACCAGCACUGUGGGCAGGGCCCCUAGACAGCAAAACAUCCCAUUGGGGGCUACAACCCUCCUCCCCCCCAUUCUCCCCCAGCCUGGCUGUGCCCCCAUGAUGAGGCCUGAGGCAGCCACUCUAACCUUCACCUCCCAUAAACACAGCCAAGGGGCAACGGGCUUUUCAUCCUGCUCCUUGCCGCAGUAGUGUGGGCAUCUGUUGGGACAUGGUGGGAGUGUUGGGUUUGUUUGCACAGCACCGGGUGUUUGGAGGCUCCUGGCGAACAGGUCUGACUGAGCACCGUAUUUGGGUGCAGGCAGGAUUUUACCCCCAUGGUCAGAUUUGAUACAGAAGGGGGCAGGAGAUUCUGCCUUCCUCUGGGGAAGUGCAUGGCCUACUGGGGCUCUCAAGUGUGUUGUCUUGAGCCUCAUGGCAGUGGGCCACUGCCAGCUCAUCCCUCUGCUUUACCUGGGGCAGGCUCAGGCGCUCUUGGUACCAUUGGGCAAAGGGCCUUGUUGUUAUGGAAGAAAUGAUUGUGUAGUUUAGGGCUGGGCCAAAAAAGCACUGCGUGGCACGGCUUGGGCAGGAUCAAGCCUGCCUCGAACAGGGGGGUGAACUGGGUGAUCCUCCCCACCCCUGAGGGCCCUUCCAGCUUGCCUGCUCUGCACUGCUGAGAUGCACAGGGCAGUUGCCAUGAGACCUCUACAUGGCAGCUCCCCUUACAGAGCGCUUGGUCCCAAAUGGCUCCUGCUCUUGUCCACGUGCCUCGUGUAACCAAGUGUGGGGCAGGCAGGGGCACAGAGAGGACACUGUAGAUGAGUUUAACUCAGUUCCCCUGUGCCAAUGCCCUAAAAGCUGCCAAACCUCCGCGAGGCUUUCAGUAACAUGGCUUGUAGGUCAUUACCUCUGCAGGGAUCCGUGUGGGAGGUACUGUUAGUAACUGGUGAGUCAGACAUACUUUUUGUGUCGUGCAUGCACUAAGUAAGCGUUGGGGGUGACUGAAGCUUUCCAGUCUGCAGCAGGUGGCUAGAAACGUCACGGUGAGCUUUAGACUGUGACGUGCUGUAACGGGAGCCGUGCAAGUCCCAAACAGCAUCUUGUGCAUGAGGCUUUCCAUAGGCUAAAUGCUGUCUACUGGCACCUGGCCAUCAACCCAUCUUGCUUGCACCUGCUAGCGGAAGACCAGGCAUCAAGAGAUGCACAUCACAUCCCACAGGUACAGCUGGUCCCAGACCAACUUCUCUGCAUCUCUCGGGAACAGGAUGCUGGUAGGAUUGCAGCAGAGAGAUGGGGGUAACUAUGGGUAGGAAGGAGGACACAGGAGUGAAGUUCACAUAAUUCAGAAGAACUGCCUGCCUUGGCACUGCCCCGAUAUUCAACCAUUUAGCUAUAGGUUCCUGGUGUGUAAAGCCCCGAGGACUCUUCACCUGUCAGCAGCACAGCCACUGACAGGAGGCUUAUUAGGUAGCAGUGCUCUGCACUGCUCCAAAAUUAAUCCGAGGGAGGGAAAACUGGCAGUUGGCGCUAGAAGGAGCUGAGGGAUGGAGUCGUGAUGUUCUAACUUCAGAGCUUGGUGAAGAGUGCUUCACUUGCCUGGAAACAGGCCUGUCCCUCCACAACCUUGCAGCCUCAUUUCCUACUAUGGUCGUGUUCCUCUGUGUGCAAAGGAAGAACCCAGGAGCGUGUAGUUGGCUGGUGCCCUGGUUCAGGCUCCGGGGCUGCGUGUGGGCGAUCUGUAUCAGUUGGACCCUUGCUUCCGUUUGUUUAUCCUUGUGCCUGGUGGCGAGGCACUGGCAAGGCUGACGCAGGAGGCAGUUUGAGGGGGAGCAGUAUGCAUUGACGUCGGUAUCAGAAAUCUGUAGCCCUUGGGCAGCUGUCCCUUGCUCGCUUCCACGCUGCUCAGCUCGUUGGCCUGGUAACAGUCACAGUCUUGCAUUCUAGCUCUGAGCGGUGGGGGCAGGGUGGGAUCAGCAGAAGAGCAGGACCUUACUGCGUGUCUCAGCAGCAGCCUGCGUGAAUCUGUCGAGCUAGGCUCAGUUCACUCCCAACAGCACCUGCCCCUAAUGCACGCCAGGCACCACAUGUCCAGCCAGCCCCACAAGCACACCUGACAGCAGCAAAUCCCAGAGGGGGGGUGCACUUAGAGCCCCAUCCAUAAAAGGGGGGGCAGGCUUCUUCCCGUGACUGGCCUUUGCCCAGAACCAGAACCAUGGGCUCAGCUCUUACACAUGAUCACCCAGUGUAAUGGUGGGCUUAGUUCCUGUGCUGUAAUCACCUGACUCUACCUCAGAUCCUGUCUCCUUUCUUAGGGCACUUAACUCCCCAGCUCCCUACAAACCUUUCCUUUCAGCCUGAAGUUUGCAGCUGUGAUUUAAGUGAUCAUCCCCUUGUUUAGUUGGGGGGAGGGGGGUAUAGAUGUUCCUACUGAUCCUGUCCCACUUACCUUUGCAGGAAACAAUGACAGGCAGGCUCGAGAAGCUAGGAGAGGUUAGAACUCACAGCUCUUAAAUGAUUUAUUAUGCCUCAUUCAUCUGGCCUUCGCAGUUCCUCUGGCCUCCUUAUCUCAUAGGGGUUAGGAAGCUUACCUACUACUACUUCAAAUCUGUUGACAGGGUGAAUGGCUGUACUGCUUAUACCCCCAGGGCCACUUGAGAACCAGAAGUGUUGGCCAACCCUGCCUGACCUGUAGGCCAAUUUCUUGCAGAGAUAAGAGCUCACAAGCACUCAGCCAGGGGCAAGUACAGAGGGUGCCUUUGGGCCAGGCUCCCCAGGGGGGUGGGGAUUAGUGGCUGCAGGAGCUGGGAGGGGGCUAUCUUUACUUACAAAAUAGAGAACCAAAAAAUGGAAGUGUCGUUGGGAAAGAACGUGUUUAUUAAAGGUUUCUGGAGGGUUUUUACAAACAAUGGAGCGUUUAAAAAAAUUAAGUGAUCAAAGUACUUGACAGUGUCCCUUAAAACACACACAAGCCCCUGGACAGAGGAAAUCACACCAGCGAGGAGGUCAAUACUGCAGGAAGAGCAGCUGGCAUCUGCAUAGUUCUAGUAGGAAAGAUUGCAAUGCUGCUGAUGCUAGUAAGUGUCAUCCUGGCAUUAAUAUAAGAGAACGCCAAAGUAUGUACGCAAGUACCUGUAGAAAACAAAGUGCAUCAAAUAACACGCCAGGUGUGUAUUGUAGAAUCAAUUUAUUUACCCAAAACAAUGAAUUAGGUGUGAUGCUUAUUACUGUCAGCAUUUCAAUAGACACUUGAUCUUAUUUACAGCUUCUGGAGGUCGGUCACCCAUGCAGUUGUGAUAACUGGCCGAGUUGUUUGCUGCUUUAGAUAAAUGCAUCACAAUAGUUGUUUGUAUUGCACCAACAUCUGUCUACUGCUUUAGAUUGAAUUAAAUAAGUUACAUUACAGUGCAAAAUAAGUUGGUUUGCACACACAAAAAAAAAUUAAAAAAGAUUGGAAGUUAUGACCCGGGGGUUUACAGUUUACACAUUCAACAUCUGUAGUCUUUUUUCAAUGAAUUUAUAAAUAGUAUAGCAUAUUGUACAGAGCUGUUUAUAAAGUAGUACGCUUAGAUGAUACAAUACAGAAAGAUUUGGCUACUUACAACUGAAGGCAUGCAUUAGUUUGAUAUUGUACAUUUUAUCAACUAUGACAUCUUACACAGAGAAAUAUGGAAACUUGGCUGACAGCUCCUCAACUUUUGGUUUAAGAACAAAUAAAAAGUUCUCUUCCAUGCAGCAAAGAACCCAAACUUCUCUGGAGAGUUUGAUUCGCUGAGCUAUAUUGCACAUUUGUACAUUUGUAUAACUGAAGCCCUAAUGGUACCACACACUUCUUCCACAAAGUAUACAAUGAGUUUUGGUUGAGGGGAAGCAAAGGGGGGGGGUUUCUUUUUUUACAUGACACAUGCAGCAGUUUUGGUAGAUGUGUUGCUAAAAACACAUGCACGCAACAAAACAACCUUACAUGUCUGCAAAAUUGUUUAGGAAGCGAUUACUCCAGCAUUGCUGAAAAGGAAAGAAAAGAGAAGAGUUAAUGAGAGCAUGAAUGGUCUGUCAUUAUAAAAGCAAGACUCUGCCAGAUCAAUAGUGAUAGAAGAAAGAAGGUUAAGUUUGAUAUCAGGCUGCUGAUUUCAUUGAAAGGACACGCCCUUAGGUUUCGUUUCUAACGCCAGUGUGAAAGCCAGUGUCAGAGCUCCCACCCAUCUCCAUGGGGCCAGGAUUUCAUCUCGGAUAUUACAAGGCAAAAGAAUUUGAAAGCCGCCUUUUGGCAUUUCAGUGUCCAGCCCAAGCAAAGAGACCAAUCUGGUUUCAUUUGCUAGAUGAGUUUCCCUCCCAGGUAUGCUGCACUACUGUAGGGCCUGGUCUUUGUUUGAAAAGCAAAUGAAAUACUACAGAAACUUCCUGGAAAGAAUUUCAGUGGCUAUUUUUUAAGCCUGUUUGCAAAUUUAAUUUGGUAAAAACUAAACCCUCAAAUUUUGGCUCAAAGCAGACCUAACACGUGUCCCUUUAAUCAUCCUGGUUAUGCAGCCAGUUCUGGGAAGCAAGGUAGGAAAGAAGUCAUGAUACACCUGAGGCUUAUGUGAGGCGUGAAGUACAACGUCAUGAAGCUACUGUUGUACUUUACCCUGAAACACACCAUGGACUUUAUCCCCGUCUUUGAAGGUAACACACACUCUGCUUCCCUACAGUUGGAGUGUUCUCCAAAUACUGCCCUUCACAGCAGAGCCCAUGAUUUAUAGGGUCCAAGAGUUCAGAGUAUGCAUAAUAUUAAUGUCAUUAAGAUAUGUGAUUAGCAGAGAUUAGGGAAACAAUUAGUGGUUAGAAGUGCAUAAAGGUAAAACGAGACAGGUGCAAGAUCCAUUUUACCUCCUUCCCUCCCAUCUCCGCAAAUUCCACCAUCUCUCCUGUUUGAGCUGCUUGCCAUUACAUUCCACUUGGCAGCUGUUCUCAGAAGCAGCUAGCACUGCUGUACUGCAUUUUAUCAUCACAGAUGAAAAGCUUGUUUUCUUACCAAUAGGUGUUUAUGAAACAGCCUCCCCUCACACAUUAGCCUUGUAACGCUGGGACAGAAUGGAAUUACAGCACCUUUCAGACUGUCUCCUGGAGGGCUAUUCAGAGUAAAUCAGCAGACACUAUUUAUAGUGCAUUCGCGUAGGCAAAAAGGAGAAGCCAUUUACAUAUAUUUCAAGCAGUUCUUUGACUCUCAGAUUCUCUGUCAAGAGGAACCAGUGGCUUGGGACCCCCUGAAGGAGGUAGAGAAGCCCCAACUAGAUGUCUGACAUCUGCACAGGGCCGGAUGCCCCCCCCCAGCUAACGGCACAAGGUAGGAUUUGCCAGGCAUGAGUACGCUCUCCUAGAAGGAGCUGCUGUCAAUGUGAAAGCAUCACCUUGAUGGCUGGCUUCCAGCAGAAGCUUUAGACAGAUGCAUCUCAUCUAGCCGUGUCUCAGCCUGGCCUGACAAACCCCUUGUGCUUCUCGCCUGCAAGAGAGCACGAGGAAAAAGCUGCCACGGGAAUGCAUUAAGAAACCCAGAGCGGAGAAGCAGACAAUAGAAAGCUCACUGAAGGGUGAAAGAAAAAGAAACCAGAACUGAAAGGCAUAGAACUGUUUGAAGAACCAGUGGUGUUGAAUAGGGCAGGGGGAUGCGCAAGCCUCACAGCAGACAUGCUGUGUCCCCAGGGUCACAUGGGAUGUCCACAUGGUCAUUAGGCUAACUGGAUCCCUUGCAAGUGAACUCUUCAGAGGCACAACAUAUUUCCUCUCUGCUGCCUGGAUCACAGCUACUAAGCUCCAAUAAUACAGAAUGCAAACAUCUUCUACAGGGAGACACUCCCUGCCCCCCCCAAAAAAUCUGUAUAUGGAGAUGAGCCUGGUGCUGCUGUCCUUUGGUGCAGUCAGACAUGAGGCUAGGAAUGGAAGAGGGGUUUCUUCUACUAAUACAAGCUUUGGCAAUAAAUUUUGCUUUUAACUUGAGACUAACUGCUGCAUUGUGCCUAGAGGACCUGUCAACUGUCUGUCAGCUAGGCACAAAAAAAUUCACAACUUAUGCCAGUUGGAGAGGAACAGUUUGGUUAACAAAGUUCUCUCAGUUCCCUGAUGCCAAGUGGAGGGAGCCGUUUCAGUGACAUUGCCCUACUCUGUUAAGUGUCUGAGAGCUGUCCCGCCUUAGUCCAGUGAAAGGCUGCUCAAGAGUCCAUGUCUUCAACCCCAAGACCCAGCCACUGUGCAUGUACAACAGACAGCAGCUUUCUAGGCACCUGCUCAAACUGCCUCACUUGGGAGAAAAGUGAAAUAUACCCUGGAGAGGAUCGAUGCCAUUCCUGUGGCAACAUCUUUUAGCAUAGGAAGGGGUAAAGGUUUGCUAUACUUUGUACAGACUCAUUCCUUGAGGCACUUGCAGACACUCCCAUCUAUUCCAAAGGCAGCUACUGUACUCCCAGUUGCUGAGCACAUGCAAUUCAGGCAGGCAGUGCUCCAGAUUUAGAUAAUGCCUUUAAAGCAAUGUAAUUGCCCAGAUGGCCCCAGGCACUCUGGAUCUCCCAGGCUCCUCUCCAACAGCCCAGGUCUACCUCUCCAUGCAGCAGCAGGGUUGCAUGCUGCUUCUGCAAUUACAGCCAGGGCACUGGAGUGCACUUCUAAUAUGGUGCACAACUUAGCUUGAGACAGAAACUUUAAAGAAACCUCCCCACACCCACUGACCACACAAAUCCUUUCCAGACAUUUGUGGAGCCCAAACUACCUAGUGUUCAAAUCACUAAGCAUUUGCUGUGAACAUCUAGGUCUAGGAUGCAGAGUUGGGACAUGAAACUAAGUCCAGCUGACGUUUAAAGUGGCUGCUGACAAGUUGCUAGACUGUCAGUACAAGCUUGUAAAAACAAGGCACGUGCUCUCCAGUGUAGGUGGAAAAGAAACUGCAACCAGCAAGAGCUUAUGUAGCAGGUUUCCCGGAAGUUACCCUUGUAACCAAAAGCCUUUGGCUUCCACUACAACCCCAGUCUGCCUGCACCCCAUACUCCAGGACUGGGGGGCUCCAUUUCGAGGUGGUAGUGCCCUCAGCUGCCUGUGAACACAGAGCCCUUCGUCCAAUGUUCCCAGAACCCAAUGCCAUGUGACUACAUUGCAACAAAUUGAUUUGAUCAAAUCGAGUCUUAGUCCACAGAGUACAAGAGAGGCUUGCAUGACAUGAUGCUGUCAGUGCCCAGUGCAGAGAGCAUGCCCUGCUGCAGACACUGCUCUCGUAUUCUGAGGAACGAGACCUCCUCACUGGCUGAACAGAGGAGGCCAUUCUGUAGCUGCACCACCGCGGGGUGCGACUGCAAGUCAUUUAUUCUUGGGAUGGACAUUCUUCUCAGUACAGAGGUCCUUCUCCAGCCACACCAAAUACACUAGUCAACACAGAACUCAAAUGCUUGGUGACGAGGACCCGACUCAACGCCUUAAGCCACUUCAUGCUUACUAAAAGCACCCCUCUGCUAAAAUGCACAGUGCUGAGGGGCAGCAGACAGAGCUGUUCUUUAGGGAGCUGUUUUGUUUAACAGCUGGGGGAACAGAUCUUCUGCAGCUGAAGCUAGGCAAGCCUGAAACCCUUGAGUUUAUCUUCUGUGCCAGCCAGGAUCCAGCUUAUUGUUUCCUGUACCUGUCCCCUUCAACAGAAGCUAAAAAAAGUAGCAUGACCCAGCUGCUUUUGAGAGCAGUCUCAAAGGCAGUGCAAACUAUCAGAGCACUGCCAGCCAGCUUCCAAAGGCACCACGACCCCAGUGCUAGUCUGGCGGAGUUUAAGAGGAGUGGGGGUUUCUUCAUCUUUUCACACUACCACCAUGUGGAGAGGGCAUUUCCACUGACUGGGAACAAACAGUUGCUCAAGCAGAGGAGCACCUGCACUGCAAACACUAACACCCGGGAAGGGUAAAGGAGGCGACACCCUGUCCACAAGAGGCAUUCCACAUUUCCUGCUGGGUGAAUGCUUCAGAACUGAGUGACCCGUGCUCGGCAGUACAAGCACGUUUCACACAAAUUCCCAUCCAGUCCCAAGCAGCGAACCAACGUAAACAGGGAGGUCCUCAAAAAACAAAGAUCUGAUAGAUUUGCCCAAUUUUACCACAGAGUGAACAACUGCGGCAUCCUGCAGCACCAAGACUGCCAGUCCCCCCAGAUCUGCGGUACAAAGCACCGUUACGGUUCUGAACGUAAAGCGUUUGCUUCAACUGGAGCCUCACACUAGAAUGAGUCUAACGUGGUGAUAAUAAUGUAGCACAGCAGAGUUUGACAAAACGCAGCAUGGAAUGAAGGAAAUUACUAUUUAUUCUUGACAUGUAGGUGUACAGCAUAUGCCAUUUUACAGCAAGUUAUCACUGGGAUGGUGAAAUGGAAGAGAAAUACUCACUUUAGUCGAUGGAUGUUGGAAGGCAUUGGAGAAAAACACCACAGUUAGGACUGUUAAUGACUUACACAUUGUUGAUACAGGACUGAUUUUGAAAAACAUGCUCUAACACUUAUCGCAAUAAUGAAUGUGGUUAGUGCCACAUGAAAAUAAAAAUAGUUCUAUACAAUAUGUUCAAUUUGGUCAUGUG